GGAGUUAGCCGGUGCUUCUUCUGUGAGUGAUGUCCUUCCUGCCGGCUAUUAACCCGCAGGCCUUCUUCCUCACUGAAAGUGCUUUACAACCCGAAGGCCUUCUUCACACACGCGGCAUGGCUGGAUCAGGGUUGCCCCCAUUGUCCAAUAUUCCCCACUGCUGCCUCCCGUAGGAGUCUGGGCCGUGUCUCAGUCCCAGUGUGGCUGAUCAUCCUCUCAGGCCAGCUACGGAUCGUCGCCUUGGUGAGCCGUUACCUCACCAACCAGCUAAUCCGACAUAGGCUCAUCCGAUAGCGCGAGGCCCGAAGGUCCCCCGCUUUCCCCCGUAGGGCGUAUGUGGUAUUAGCCUGGGUUUCCCCAGGUUAUCCCCCACUACCGGGCAGAUUCCUAUGCAUUACUCACCCGUCCGCCGCUCGCCACCAGGGAGCAAGCUCCCCGUGCUGCCGCUCGACUUGCAUGUGUUAGGCCUGCCGCCAGCGUUCAAUCUGAGCCAGGAUCAAACUCUGA
rnacentral:rRNA from 1 species